rnacentral:rRNA from 1 species
UGGAGUAGUUUGAUCCUGGCUCAGGACGAACGCUGGCGGCGUGCCUAAUACAUGCAAGUCGAGCGGACCAACGGGAGCUUGCUCCCUUAGGUUAGCGGCGGACGGGUGAGUAACACGUGGGUAACCUGCCUGUAAGACUGGGAUAACUCCGGGAAACCGGGGCUAAUACCGGAUGCUUGAUUGAACCGCAUGGUUCAAUUAUAAAAGGUGGCUUUUAGCUACCACUUACAGAUGGACCCGCGGCGCAUUAGCUAGUUGGUGAGGUAACGGCUCACCAAGGCAACGAUGCGUAGCCGACCUGAGAGGGUGAUCGGCCACACUGGGACUGAGACACGGCCCAGACUCCUACGGGAGGCAGCAGUAGGGAAUCUUCCGCAAUGGACGAAAGUCUGACGGAGCAACGCCGCGUGAGUGAUGAAGGUUUUCGGAUCGUAAAACUCUGUUGUUAGGGAAGAACAAGUACCGUUCGAAUAGGGCGGUACCUUGACGGUACCUAACCAGAAAGCCACGGCUAACUACGUGCCAGCAGCCGCGGUAAUACGUAGGUGGCAAGCGUUGUCCGGAAUUAUUGGGCGUAAAGCGCGCGCAGGCGGUUUCU